UACGUAGGUGGCAAGCGUUGUCCGGAAUUACUGGGCGUAAAGCGCGUGUAGGCGGCUAUGCAAGUCGGAUGUGAAAGCCCUCGGCUCAACCGGGGAAGUGCACCCGAAACUGCAAAGCUAGAGUCUCGGAGAGGAUCGUGGAAUUCUCGGUGUAGAGGUGAAAUUCGUAGAUAUUCGCAAGAACACCAGUGGCGAAGGCGGCUCACUGGUCCGGUACUGACGCUGAGGUGCGAAAGCGUGGGGAGCGAACAGG
rnacentral:rRNA from 1 species